GACGAACGCUGGCGGCGUGCUUAACACAUGCAAGUCGAACGGAAAGGCCCUGCUUUUGUGGGGUGCCCGAGUGGCGAACGGGUGAGUAACACGUGAGUAACCUGCCCUUGACUUUGGGAUAACUUCAGGAAACUGGGGCUAAUACCGUAUAGGAGCUCCUGCUGCAGGGUGGGGGUGGGAAAGUUUCGGCGGUUGUGGAUGGACUCGCGGCUUAUCAGCUUGUUGGUGGGGUAGUGGCUUACCAAGGCUUUGACGGGUAGCCGGCCUGAGAGGGUGACCGGCCACAUUGGGACUGAGAUACGGCCCAGACUCCUACGGGAGGCAGCAGUGGGGAAUCUUGCACAAUGGGCGGAAGCCUGAUGCAGCAGCGCCGCGUGCGGGAUGACGGCCUUCGGGUUGUAAACCGCUUUCGCCUGUGACGAAGCGGGAGUGACGGUAAUGGGUAAAGAAGCACCGGCUAACUACGUG
rnacentral:rRNA from 1 species